rnacentral:lncRNA from 1 species
GAAAUAUAGAAAUCAAAGAUAACAUCCAAAUCUGAAUAAUAAUAUCCAAAUCUAAAAACACACGAAAACAAGACAUGUCCAUGAAAGCGAAAACCACUGGAGCCAAAGGAUUCAUUAACAAAAUUAAAUGGAUAACAAAACCCAGUAACCGGCAAUGAACAACCAAAUUUGAAAAUUGAAAUAGAUAAACAAUAAGAGCACAAAUUCCAGAUCGGAAACCACUAGAAACAAACCACCGGUAAGAACAGUUCCAGAGCUGAAUAAAGACAAACCAGAUCUGGAGAAGCUCCAUCUUUCAAAAGGUCAUCAAAGACAAACCCAAGCCCAGACCAAAACACAAAGUCCUCCAAUCAGAUCAUGACUCUAGAAACCCAUGAACAAAAUCAUCGCCUUUACUAGUCUCGCAGGAAACCAAUCGUAGAUCUGGGUUUGAAUCUUCCAGAUUUUUCACAAAUAAUCACUAUAAUUCGAGGGUCCUUGGGUUGAUAAUCAAGAUGAAGAUAAAAUGAAAAUGAAAGAGAUAAAGAUGGAGAUUUUCACUCUGUUUUAAUUUGAUGAACCAAAUGAGAUGGAAUUAGAGGACCCUUUGGUUUGUUGCUCUAAUUUGUUGUCUGUUUUGGUUUGUUGAAUGAAAUGGAAUUAAAUUG